UAAUGAUUUAAUGAAGUAUUAUAGAUAUAUGUAAUCCAGACAAUUUCAAUUAAGUCAAACUAUCUUUUUACAUGAGAUCAACAUACAAUGAAUAACAUUUUAAUUGUAUGCAAGCUAGUGAGUAACUCUGGUCAAGUACUAUAUACACAUGAAUUUAAUAAAAAAAACUAUCUUAAUCACAAGGAAUUAUAGAAAUCUCUAUAAUUAUAUAAACUAUGUCGACUUUUCAAAUGUACAAGUUACGACGCCUGAUUUUACUGUACUUUUGUGGAGAUUCAAAUUUGUAAUAUGUAAAGAAUCGUUGGAAAAUAACAAUAAUAAUUACUAUACUUUUGGUAUUUUAAGUGAAUUAUAUAAGAAUCACUUUGACCUUAACUUUCUUUGAAGAAAAGCUAUGUUGAUACUUAUUUGAUUAGCGACUUUAAGACUCGAGUCUGCGUCGUUGAGUCUCUGUAAGAAAUAGGAAAUAUUUUAUCUUUCCGACUUUUGGUGUACUUUUCAGUAUAUGAUUUGUACGUCUAAUCUUUAGAGUCUCUUUUAAAUAUAAAUACUUAUAAAACUAUGCUUUAUAUAAAUAAAACUCUGAGAAAAUAUGUCCUAACCUUUAAAGUGUAAGCUCAAACUGUUAGCUACAGUUACGAAAGGAUUUUAAUAUUUAGGCUUUUGAUUAUAAGCAACCUUGUGGCAUGUAGACCGAUCACAACUAACGCUUUCAAUAAGAAUUCAUUUUAUAUACAAUGAAAGAGACUCGAAAGACUUCAUAAUGACGUCAAAAGCGACUCAAAAGAUUCUAUUUCUACGUAAUACCGCCGUUCACGAUAGUGCACUUAGACUGGUUUAUGGUAAGCGACGCAGGUAAACAUGGCGGACAUUACACAGAAAAA